GCCAGGCAUGGUGGAGCAUGCUUGUAAUCCCAGCGGCUUGGGAGGCUGAGGCAGGAGGAUGGUGAUUUCAAAGCCAGCCUCAG
rnacentral:sRNA from 1 species